UACGUAGGGGGCAAGCGUUGUCCGGAUUUACUGGGCGUAAAGAGCGUGUAGGCGGCCAUACAGGUCCGUUGUGAAAACUGGAGGCUCAACUUCCAGACGUCGACGGAAACCGUGUGGCUAGAGUCCGGAAGAGGAGAGUGGAAUUCCUGGUGUAGCGGUGAAAUGCGCAGAUAUCAGGAGGAACACCGAUUGCGAAGGCAGCUCGCUGGGACGUUACUGACGCUGAGACGCGAAAGCGUGGGGAGCAAACAGG
rnacentral:rRNA from 1 species